AGAGUUUGAUCCUGGCUCAGGGUGAACGCUGGCGGUGUGUCUAAUACAUGCAAGUCGAGCGCCCAGCAAUGGGAGCGGCGAACGGGUGAGUAAUACGUUGGAACCUGCCCCGAACUCAGGGAUAACUCGCAGAAAUGCGAGCUAAUACCGGAUAGUCCCGCAAGGGUAAAGAUUUUUCGGUUCGGGAGGGGCCUGCGUCCUAUCAGCUAGUUGGUAAGGUAAUGGCUUACCAAGGCAUUGACGGGUAGCUGGUCUGAGAGGAUGGUCAGCCACAAUGGAACUGAGAGAAGGUCCAUACUCCUACGGGAGGCAGCAGUAAGGAAUAUUUCGCAAUGGGGGAAACCCUGACGAAGCGACACCGCGUGAUCGAUGAAGGCCGAAAGGUUGUAAAGAUCUUUUC
rnacentral:rRNA from 1 species